GCUGGGUGUGGUGGCGGGUGCCUGUAAUCCCAAUUACUGGGGAGGCUGAGGCAGGAGAAUUGCUUGAACCCAGGAGGCAGAGGUUGCAGUGAGCCAGGAUUGUGCCACUGCACUCUAGCCUGGGUGAUAGAGUGAGACUCUGUCUCAA
ensembl:misc_RNA Metazoa_SRP Metazoan signal recognition particle RNA